rnacentral:misc_RNA from 1 species
CAGCCCGGUAAUUCCAGCUCCAAUAGCGUAUAUUUAAGUUGUUGCAGUUAAAAAGCUCGUAGUUGAACUUCGGGGUUUACCCAUUGGUCAGGCUUAAUUGUCUGUACUGGUGAGAUAAAUCUCUACCUUCUGAGGAACUUUCAUGUCAUUAAUUUGGUGUGAUUGGAAAUCAGGACUGUUACUUUGAAAAAAUUAGAGUGUUUAAAGCAGGCUAACGUCUGAAUACAUUAGCAUGGAAUAAUGAAAUAGGACGGACUGAUUCUAUUUCGUUGGUUUCUAGGAUCACCGUAAUGAUUAAUAGGGAUAGUUGGGGGCAUUAGUAUUCAAUUGUCAGAGGUGAAAUUCUUGGAUUUAUUGAAGACUAACUACUGCGAAAGCAUUUGCCAAGGAUGUUUUCAUUAAUCAAGAACGAAAGUUAGGGGAUCGAAGACGAUCAGAUACCGUCGUAGUCUUAACCAUAAACUAUGCCGACUAGGGAUCGGACGAAGUUAAUUUUAUAAUGACGCGUUCGGCACCUUACG